rnacentral:rRNA from 1 species
AUACGGAGGAUGCAAGCGUUAUCCGGAUUUAUUGGGUUUAAAGGGUGCGUAGGCUGACGUGUAAGUCAGAGGUGAAAUCUCCGGGCUCAACCUGGGAACUGCCUUUGAUACUGCAUGUCUGGAGUUCGGAUGCCGUGGGAGGAGUGGGCAGUGUAGCGGUGAAAUGCGUAGAUAUGCCACAGAACGCCGAUAGCGAAGGCAGCUCGCCGGACCUGCAUUGACGCUCAGGCACGAAAGCGUGGGGAUCGAACAGGAUUAGAUACCCUGGUAGUCCACGCCGUAAACGAUGGGCGCUCGUCGUCGGCGGCACAAUGUCGGCGGCCAAGCGAAAGCGAUAAGCGCCCCACCUGGGGAGUACGGUCGCAAGGCUGAAACUUAAAGGAAUUUACGGGG